AAUUUGUAACUUAAAGCAAAAGGUGGAUGCCUUGGCUUGUUUGACCGAAGAAGGACGCGUAGGGCGCGAAAGUCGUCGGGUAGCUCCCAAAAAGCUGUGAUCCGGCGGUGUCCGAAUGGGGUAACCCCGCCUUGUUUACAAGGUGGCCCAAACAAUUUAUUGUUUGGGGGGGUACGUGCCGAACUGAAAUAUCUAAGUAAGCACAGGAAAAGAAAACGAAUGAGAUUUCCUUAGUAAGCGACGAGCGAAAAGGAAUUAGCCCAAACCAGAUUUUUCUGGGGUUGUAGGACUCUAACAUUGGACAGUGAUUGUUAGUAGAACAAUGUGGAAUAAUUGGCCAAAGACCGUGAAAGCCGCGUAUACGAAAACAAAAACUGCCAUAGGAUGUUCCUGAGUAGGUUAAGAGACGGCAAACUCUUUUCUGAAUCUGGGGUGACCAUACUCCAAGGCUAAAUAUCAAACAAGACCGAUAGUGAACGAGUACCGUGAGGGAAAGGUGAAAAGAAGGGCGGAAGGCCCCGUGAAAUAGUAUCUGAAACCAUUUGCUAACAAUCAGACAAAGCAGGAUUUAUCUUGUGAUGUCGUGCCUAUUGAAGAAUGAGCCAGCGAGUAUUUGCUAAGUUGCUUGGUUAAGACAUUGCCAUGUCGAAGCCGUAGUGAAAGCGAGCUUGAAUAGAGCGUUUAUAGUAACUAGUAAAUGACCCGAAACCGGAGUGAGCUAAUCAUGGCCAGGAUGAUUUAGGGCGAGAGCCCUAAGGAGGUCCGCACCGUUGUAUGCUGCAAGAUGCUCGGAUGAGCUGUGGUUAGGGGUAAUAUGCCAAUCGAACCCGGAGAUAGCUGGUUCUCCCUGAAAUAUAUUUAGGUAUAGGGUUGCGUUAAGCAGAGUUGGGGGUAGAGCACUGAUCGGGCGUCUUAUGGGAAACCGUGAGCGUCUAGUCAAACUCCGAAUACCAAUUUUGUGUUUCGCAGCACUCAGCACCUGGGAGCUAAGUUCCAGGAGCUAAAGGAAAACAAACCAGACCUACAGCUAAGGUCUCCAAUAAACAUUUAGUGGGAAAGGAAGUUUAGAUCCUAAGACAACUAGGAGGUCGGCUCAGAAGCAGCCAUCCUUUAAAGAAAGCGUAACAGCUCACUAGCCGUAGGAUUUAUGCGCCGAAAAUUUAACGAGGCUCAAAUGUUUAACCGAAGCUUAGGAUUUGCUCUAGUUUACUAGAGUGAGUGGUAAGGGAGCGUUCUGUGUGCUUUGAAGGUGGCCCGUAAGGAGCUGCUGGAGCGAUCAGAAGUGAGAAUGCUGGCAUAAGUAGCGUCAUUGAAGUGAGAAUCUUCAACUCCGAAUGUCCAAGGUUUCCGCACCCACGUUCGUCGUGUGCGGGUUAGGCGACCCUAAGACAAGCCCCGUCUCAGACGGAGGGUAGUCGAUGGAUUACUGGUUAAUAUUCCAGUCCUUGGUACAGAUCAUUAUUACUUGGGGAGGGACGAUGAUGGAUAGCGCUGGUGCAAAAGUGAAUUUUGUAUCCAAUCAACAAGACAGUCUAGUUAGGCAAAUCCGAUUAGGCGUUUAUUCAAGUUGUGAUAGGUCAAUACUCCGCGUGAGUGUUGAUCAGCGUGAUUUCAUUAUCCUGGAAAAGCUUCGCAAGGAGAGCUGUAUCAAAUCGUACCGAUAACCGACACAGGUGGACAGGUCGAGUAGACCAAGGAGAGCGAGAGAAAGUAGUUUAAGGAAUUCGGCAAAAUAGCUGGGCGUAACUUUGGGAAAUGCCCUCCCCAUCGCAAGAUGGGGCGCAGCGAAUGAGAUGGAGCUGACUGUUUACCAAAAACACAGGUCUGUGCAAACCCGCAAGGGGAAGUAUACGGGCUGAAACCUGCCCGGUGCUGGAAGGUUAAUUGCGAGGGUGAUUAGUUUACUAAUUGCUUUCAAUAGAAGCCCCAGUGAACGGCAGCAGUAACUAUAACUGUUCUAAGGUAGCGAAGUACCUUGUCACUUAAUUGGUGACGCGCAUGAAAGGCACAACAAGCCUCAUACUGUCUUGAACUACUACUCGGCGAAAUUGAGAUGGCCGUGAAGACGCGGCCUACUAACACAAGGACAAAUAGACCCCGUGAAGCUUUACUACAACUUGGCACUGGUCUUAUAUAUAGAAUUGUUUAGGAUAGGUGGGAGUUCCUUCAUUUAGUGAUGGAACAUCAGUGAAAUACCACUCGUUUUAUAUAUAGGACCUUACUUAAGACUAAUGCAAACUUAGUCAAGGACACUGUCUGGCAGGUAGUUUAACUGGGGAGGUUGCUUGCUAAAGAGUAACGCAAGCGCGCAAUGGUACCCUUAGUCUGGAUGGAAAUCAGACUGUACGUGCAAUAGCAUAUGGGUGCUUAACUGUGAGGCAUACGGGCCGAGCAGAUGCGAAAGCAGGUUAUAGUGAUCCUCGUGCACUUUAUGGAAGGUGCCGGGCUUAUCGGAUAAAAGCUACUCCGGGGAUAACAGAGUCAUCGCGCCUAAGCGUCCCUAGCGUCGGCGCGGUUUGCUACCUCGAUGUCGGCUCAUCGCAUCCUGGGGGUGAAGAAGCUCCCAAGGGUUUGUCUGUUCGCCAAUUAAAGCGGUACGCGAGCUGGGUUCAGACCGUCGUGAGACAGGUCGGCCUCUAUCCGGUGUUAGCGUUAGAAAGUUGAGGGAAUUGAUCUCUAGUACGAGAGGAUCGAGAUGAGGGAAUCCCUAGUGUUCCUGUUGUUGCUGUCAAGCGCACCGCAGGGUAGCUACAUUUCUUAAGGAUAAUCGCUGAAAGCAUCUAAGCGAGAAGCCCCACCCAAGAUUAACUUUCUCCAUUAGACCCGUGGAAGACUACCACGUUGAUAGGUUGCCGGUGUAAGUAUGGUGACAUAUUAAGCCUAGCAAUACUAAGUGUCGAUUGAAUAAAUUAC
rnacentral:rRNA from 1 species